UACAGAGGUCUCAAGCGUUGUUCGGAUUCAUUGGCGUAAAGGGUGCGUAGGCGGCGCGGUAAGUCGGGUGUGAAAUCUCGGGGCUUAACUCCGAAACUGCAUUCGAUACUGCCGUGCUUGAGGACUGGAAAGGAGACUGGAAUUUACGGUGUAGCGGUGAAAUGCGUAGAUAUCGUAAGGAAGACCAGUGGCGAAGGCGGGUCUCUGGACAGUUCCUGACGCUGAGGCACGAAGGUCAGGGGAGCAAACGGG
rnacentral:rRNA from 1 species